rnacentral:rRNA from 1 species
UACGGAGGAUCCGAGCGUUAUCCGGAUUUAUUGGGUUUAAAGGGUGCGUAGGCGGCCUGUUAAGUCAGGGGUGAAAGACGGUGGCUCAACCAUCGCAGUGCCUUUGAUACUGACGGGCUUGAAUACACUAGAGGUAGGCGGAAUGAGACAAGUAGCGGUGAAAUGCAUAGAUAUGUCUCAGAACACCGAUUGCGAAGGCAGCUUACUAUGGUGUGAUUGACGCUGAGGCACGAAAGCGUGGGGAUCAAACAGG